CAGUGAUUUUUCCUUUUCCGAAAAUGGCAAAAAUGGGAAAGAGUUAAACUGGGGAAGGAGAACUGGUGUGAACUCACACUAAAACCCAAAAUACAGUUCAUACAUGAAGCCUAAAAUCCGAGUAAAGCUACAAUCCAAAUUUGUCACAAUCUGCAAUAAAGCUUAAUGAGUACGUAGUUUUCUUCUUCAUUCUUCCAUUUCUCAGUCUGUGUUAACAGUUUUACAUAGAAAAAUCCGCUCCUCUACCAAAAACCCAUGGAGAACAAUCAUCAACAAUCGGCGGAGCCUCUGUACCCUGGUUACCCCUUCCACCAAAUGCUGAUGCUGCAGCAGCAUGAACAGCUGCAGCUGCAGCAACAGCAGCAGGUGGAACAGCAAAUGAGGAUUUUCUGGAACUGCCAGCGUGAAGAAAUUGAGGAGCUGGAUGAUUUUAAGCAUCACCAGUUUCCCAUUUCCAGGAUCAAGAGGAUUAUAAAAUCUGAAAACAAUGUCCUCAAGGUGUCUGCUGAAACACCGAUUUUGUUUUCAAAGGCAUGUGAGCUCUUUGUUCUGGAGCUCACUCUUCGUUCCUGGUUUCACGCCCAGGAAAACAACCGUGGUACUCUUAAGAAAACUGACUUCGCUGCCGCUAUUAGGCGGACUGAGAUUUUUGAUUUCCUUGCUGACGUCGUCCCUGCGGAUGAGAUCAAUGAAGUGGCUACUGGUUUUGGGCCUGGCAUGGUGGGGCCCACAGCAGGUGGUGGUUUUCCCUACUUUUAUCCACCAAUGGGACAGCUUGCUAUGCCUGGGGUGAUGCUAGGAGGGCCUGCUAUGCCUGGGGUGAUGCCAGGAGGGCUUGCUAUGCCUGGGCCGAUGCUAGGAGGGCCUGCUAUGCCUGAGGUGAUGAUAGGAGGACCUGCUAUGCCUGUGGUUGCUCCUUCAGUGUACGUUCAGCCUCCAUUGCAGGCGUGGCAGCCUGCUGGUGAUAAUUCCAAUGCUGGUGGAGGGAACGGUGGACAGGGUAACUUUGGUCCUUAAAGUUAAAGAUCAAGUCGUCUGUUGAAGAGGCACAAUGGAAGCUGAGUUACUAAUGCUACAGGGUUUGAAGAGUUGAAGACAGUUAGUUAAUCUCCAUAGUAUUUAUGUGAAUAAACUUCACACGAUAGCCAGGUCGUCGAGUGUUGCUCCAUUUGCUGGUUGAAUCUGAAGGAGACAAUAAAGUUUUCUUGUUUGUGACCUGCCAAAGUUGUAGGCUAAUGGAAUGUAAUAAAGACAUUGCUGGAGCUCAAAAUUUUUGCUUUGAAGGCUCAAAAUCGGUUUCCAGGCCUUGAUGGUCUUUCUCAGUUCCUGGAGGUGGUGGCUGUUUAUGUUGCUCAUGAUAAAAAGACUUAUGGUGAAGUGGAUAUUUACAGUGUUCUUUCUCUCGAGCUCUCAGCUAAUGAUGAAACAAUAAGGAAACACUACUGAAGGCUUGCUCUAGCUCUUCACCUUGAUAAAAAUAAAUCUGUUGGGGGCAGAUGGGGCGUUUAAGAUUAUAUCUGAAGCGUGGAGUUUGUUUUAUGAUAGAACCAAAAGAAUGAUGGAUGACAAUACGCAUGCUACGAGGAAUGCAUCCAUGCAACGCAAUCGGCACGAAUUUCAUAAUUUCUCCAUGAACCGAGCAAGUGCAAGAAACUCAACAAAUGCUAAUUUCCAGCCCACCCCAGUGGCUCCCAGACAUCAAAAGUUGAAACAUUCUGGACAUCUUGCAAUACACGCCAGAUGCCUAAUGAAUACUUAAAGCGUCACCUAAACAAAAGUAUUAUGUGCCCCAAAUGUCACCGGCCCUUUAGGGCAAGGGUGGUAGGUGUUCCCAUGAAAAUUCAAGCUGCUUCUUUUUCGUGGUCUUCCAGCCAGCAGCAGCAGGGUACAAACUAUCCUGCUUCCAUUAGAUUUUCUGUUUCAGGUGUGAAGAUCCCUACAGCUUCAAAUUCAGUACAGUACAAUCUGGUUAUUCUGGCUUUGGCUCAACAAUUAGAGCAAACAUUCAGAAGGAUCAAGUUUUUAAGAAGAGCGAUGCAAAUAGUGUGCAUGCCACUACAGCUGGGCAAGCUGCACACCCCGGCCAGCCAGCUGGUGGAAACUUGAAGAGAGCUAAUGCAGAAGCAGCUCUGUGUGCCAGGAGACUUUUCUGAAGAAAAACAAUUCAUUCAUGAAAAACUGAUGCAGGUCUUGUUCCUGAUUCAGUUUCCACUUGUUCAGAAGCUGAUAGGCUAAUAUAAAAGAGAUGCAUAGAUGAGUUGAAGUCAAAAUUUCAAAGAGAAGGAAUGGUAAAUGAAUUGGCUGCAAAAGGUGAAUCUAGCAGCCAAGAAAACAUGCAUGGAAAUGAAAAUGGUGUUUUGAGAGCAGAGAGGGCUACCAUUGUGGUAAGUAACAAGCCCAGGAGUUCAGGGGAGUUGUCCAAUUUAGAAAUUCGCAGUAUGCUGGCGAAAAAGGCUAGGAUGGAUCACCAAGAAGCUUAAAGAAUGGAGCACAAAUGCUACUUCUCAAACUUCAUCUGAGAAGGAAAGAGAAGUGGAAAAGAAGAAGCAAAUUGCACGUGAAGUUAUCAAAAAUGAUCUAAGAAGGGAUAAAACUGCUCAUGAUGCUGUGGUGGAUCCAAAAUAGCAUACGAGCAGAAAAAAUGGCUGGUCUUUAGUGCUCUGUUUGAUUUAGAACCAGAAGCUACGUCAAUGACUGUUCCAGAUCCUGACUUCCAUAAUUUCGACAAGGAUAGACUGGAAAAAUCUUUUGAUGAGAAUCAAGUCUGGGCUGCUUAUGAUACUGAUGAUGGCAUGCCACACUAUUAUGCUCUGAUUCGCUAUAUGAUAUCUAAAAAUCCAUUGAAAGUGCAAUUGAGCUGGUUGAACUCCAAAAACAACUCCAAACUCUUCCCAAUUAAUUGGGUUGGUUCUGGCUUCCUCAAGACCAGUAGAGAUUUCAGGAUAGGCAAGCAAGAAAUCAAUAAGACGCUCAAUUCUUUUUCCCACUAGGUCAAGUGGGUGAAAGGGGCUGGAGGUGUUAUCCAAAUUUUCUCUAGAAAGGGGCAUGUUUGGGCUCUGUACAUGCAUUGGUCUCCUAAAUGGAAUGUGCUAACUUCAAAUGAUAUGAUACACAACUAUGAUAUGGCGGAAGUGCUUGGCAACUGCACUGAGAAGGAAGGUGUCACUGUUAUUUCAUUAGUCAAAGUAGCUGCUUCACG